rnacentral:rRNA from 1 species
UCUGGUUGAUCCUGCCGGAGGAUACUGCUAUCCGGGUUCGACUAAGCCAUGCGAGUUGAGAGGGUUCGGCCCUCGGCGAACUGCUGAGUAAUACACAGUUAAUCUACCCUUAGGUCAGGGAUAAUCCCGGGAAACUGGGGCUAAUACCUGAUAGUUACCGAGCACUGGAAUGUCUCGGUAAUGAAAGCUCAGGCGCCUAAGGAUGAAACUGUGGCCUAUCAGCUUGUUGGGGGUGUAAUGGACCCCCAAGGCGAUAACGGGUAGGGGCCAUGAAAGUGGGGGCCCCCAGAUGGAUUCUGAGACAUGAAUCCAGGACUUACGGGUCGCAGCAGGCGCGAAACCUUCACAAUACUCUAACGAGUGAUGAGGGGACCCGGAGUGCCGCAGCACUGCUGUGGCUUUUGUCCACUACAAAUAGGUGGACGAAUAAGGGGUGGGUAAGACGGGUGCCAGCCGCCGCGGUAAUACCCGCGCCCCAAGUGGUAUCCACGAUUAUUGGGCUUAAAGCGUCCGUAGCCGGUCUGACAAGUCCUUGGUGAAAUCCUACAGCAAACUGUAGGGCUUGCCGAGGAUACUGUCAGACUUGGAACCAGGAGAGGGUAGGAGUAUUCCAAGGGUAGGGGUAAAAUCCUAUAAUCCUUGGAAGACUACCUGUGGCGAAGGCGCCUACCUGGAAUGGGUUCGACGGUGAGGGACGAAAGCUAGGGGAGCGAUCGGGAUUAGAUACCCCGGUAGUCCUAGCCGUAAACGAUGCCCGUUUGGUGUUGCAAACCUUUAGGGGGUCUGCAGUGCCGGAGCGUAAGUGUUAAACGGGCCGCCUAGGGAGUACGACCGCAAGGUUGAAACUUAAGGGAAUUGGCGGGGGAGCACACAAGGGGUGGAGGUUGCGGUUUAAUUGGAUUCAACGCCGGGAACCUUACGGGGGGCGACGGCAGGAUGAGGGUCAGGCUGAAGACCUUACCAGACAAGCCGAGAGGUGUUGCAUGGCCAUCGUCAGCUCGUACCGUGAGGCGUGCGGUUAAGUCCGUUAACGAGCGAGACCCUCGCCCUAUGUUGCUAUCCCGUAAGGGAGCACUCAUAGGGGACCGCUGGCGAUAAGCCAGAGGAAGGUGAGGGCGACGGUAGGUCAGUAUGGCCCGAAUCUCCCCGGCUACACGCGACCUACAAUGCAUAGGACAAUGGGACGCGACCCCGAAAGGGGAAGCUAAUCCCCUAAACCUAUGCCUAGUUCGGAUCGAGGGCUGCAACUCGUCCUCGUGAAGCUGGAAUCCCUAGUAGGCGAACGUCACCAU